rnacentral:rRNA from 1 species
AACGAACGUUAGCGGCGCGCCUAACACAUGCAAGUCGAGCGAGAAAGGGCUUCGGCCCCGGUAAAGCGGCGCACGGGUGAGUAACACGUGGAUAACCUACCCCCUUGGUGGUGGAUAACCUUCCGAAAGGAGGGCUAAUACAGCGUAAGACCACGACUUCGAAAGAGGUUGAGGUAAAAGUGGGCCUCUGUACACAAGCUCACGCCAGGGGAUGGGUCCGCGGCCCAUCAGCUAGUUGGUAGGGUAACGGCCUACCAAGGCGAAGACGGGUAGCUGGUCUGAGAGGAUGAUCAGCCACACUGGAACUGAGACACGGUCCAGACUCCUACGGGAGGCAGCAGUGGGGAAUCUUGCGCAAUGGACGAAAGUCUGACGCAGCGACGCCGCGUGAGUGA